CAGCAGCCGCGGUAAUACGUAGGUGGCAAGCGUUGUCCGGAAUUAUUGGGCGUAAAGGGCUCGCAGGCGGUUCCUUAAGUCUGAUGUGAAAGCCCCCGGCUCAACCGGGGAGGGUCAUUGGAAACUGGGAAACUUGAGUGCAGAAGAGGAGAGUGGAAUUCCACGUGUAGCGGUGAAAUGCGUAGAGAUGUGGAGGAACACCAGUGGCGAAGGCGACCCUCUGGUCUGUAACUGACGCUGAGGAGCGAAAGCGUGGGGAGCGAACAGGAUUAGAUACCCGGGUAGUCCCUGUCUCUUAUAA
rnacentral:rRNA from 1 species